GGGGGGGAAGCAUGGAGAGGUGAGCUCAAAGAAAUCUCGUGCUUGUAACGUGGAUGAUGAACAUCUAAGGGAGACAGAGGCGGACAGAUAAAGACAGCGGAAACAGACCAGUGAGGAAAUUAUUGGGGUGAUUUCGAUAAGGAAGAACAGGCUUCAAACCAAGCAAUGGCUGAGGAGACAGGGAAGAGAAUGCCUGUGAACACUGCUAAGUGUUGGACAGAUUUUAUUGUACAACUAGACAACUCAGACAACUUACCAGAGAAAAGAACGUGGCACAGGAAGAAAGACAAAGGACUGAAGAAGCUAAAAGUGUAUCCAAAUGUCCUGAGCUACUCC